rnacentral:rRNA from 1 species
UAUCUCUGUAGAGUCUGCAUAUCAAUAAGCGGAGGAAAAGAAACUAACAAGGAUUCCCUUAGUAACGGCGAGCGAAGCGGGAAGAGCUCAAGUUUGAAAUCUUCAAGGUUCUACCUUGACGAAUUGUAGUUUAUAGAAGUGUUUUCUGUUAGUAGAGUGGCAAAAGUUCUUUGGAAUAGGACAUCAUAGAGGGUGAGAAUCCCGUAUUUGGUCAUUCUUUCUAGCUUUGUGAUACACUUUCAACGAGUCGGAUUGUUUGGGAAUGCAGUCCAAAAUGGGUGGUAAAUUUCAUCUAAAGCUAAAUAUUGGCGAGAGACCGAUAGCGAACAAGUACCGUGAGGGAAAGAUGAAAAGAACUUUGAAAAGAGAGUUAAACAGUACGUGAAAUUGUCAAAAGGGAAGCGUUUGACACCAGUGUUGUUUUUCCGAAAAUCAAUUACGAAUGUUUUGUUUUUAAGAAGUUAUGACUUCAUCGGCUUGCUUCUUUCUUUACGAAACUUUCUUAAUGCACUUUUCGGUUAACAAGUCAACAUCAAUUUCUUUUGUUGUAAAAGGGUACGAGGAAGGUGGCUUUCUUUUCGGAGAAAGUGUUUAUAGCCUUGUGCCUCUGCAAUCGGAGAGAUUGAGGUCUGCAGCGUAGAUCCUUCGGGGUUAGAUACAGUUUGUGCUAAGUUAUAGCUUUUCAUAGACAACUUGUUGACUAUGAUCAGUCAUGUAGCUUACUCGCUUAUGCUAUUUUACCUACGCUUAGGAUGUUGACGCAUGAGAUAUACGC